UACGUAGGGUGCGAGCGUUGUCCGGAAUUAUUGGGCGUAAAGGGCGUGUAGGCGGGACGGUAAGUCGGGCGUGAAAUCCCUAGGCUCAACCUAGGAACUGCACUCGAAACUACCAUUCUUGAGUGUCGGAGAGGAAAGCGGAAUUCCUGGUGUAGAGGUGAAAUUCGUAGAUAUCAGGAGGAACACCAGUGGCGAAGGCGGCUUUCUGGACGAUAACUGACGCUGAGACGCGAAAGCGUGGGGAGCAAACAGG
rnacentral:rRNA from 1 species